ACUACAAAAGUUGGAAUAGGAGACGCUAAAUAGAGAACGGUUAAGUUUGUUGAGCGUAUUAUAGGAUUAUAGAGAACGCAUUUCUCUUGUAACAGUUUUGUGAAUAAAAGAAUAGAAAACGGUGAUCUUACCUAACCAUUUUAUAUUAUUUACCAUGAUAAAAUAAAAAAUUAAAUUUAUAAUAACUGAUAAAAUAUAAAGCAGUUUUAUAUUUUAUUUUAUUUUAUUUACCAUACAAAAAACAAAAUUUGUUCUCAUUUACCAUUUUAUAUUAUUAUUUACCAUUUUAUAAUAUUAUUUACCAAAAUAUUUACCAUACAAAAAACAAAAUUUGUUCCCAAAAUAGUUGUAUAUGUAACGUAAAUUAAUGAAUUAAUUCUAAUAAGUUUUUCUUUCCUCCUCAAACAAUUGGAAAACAAGACUAUCAAAGUAUAAGUUGGGCGGAAGAAAACUUUAGCAAUUACUUUGACCCACGCAAAACCAAAAGCCAAAAAUAGCUUCGAUUCUCACGCAAAACCAAGGGAAAAACCGUGCACCACCGCACCGGAUCUCCCAUCCUCUACCGUUGCUCCACUAUAAUGCCGCUCCACUGUAUCGCAACCUCCGAUGAACACCGUCAGUCCCACCGCCGUUGUCAAUUCCGAGGUUAAGGGACAUGUUUGCUUACUGCUAGGUGAAACAUCCAACAAUUAAGGUAGAAAAUAUUCAAGUGUUAUCAAGCACAAGUAUGUAUGGAGGAGGUAAACUCGGAGAGUUUGAUAGGAUUUUACUGUUUAUUGCGUCAUGUGGCUAUUUUCUUGCUUUCGCUUUCUCAGACAAGCCUUUGCAUAUUUAAGCAAUCGAUAGAGUGUGAAAUGGAUGAUUCAGUUCCAGUUUUGGUCGCGUUAUUUGGUUGUAUGGCUGGUUAUUUCUGAGAGUUUUUUGUAUUUCCUUGAGCCUUAUGUCUUUUCUUGUUGAUGAUCUGGUUAACCUUUCUAUUGCCCAUCUACUCUUAUGUAUUUUCAUGAUCUUGGGAUUGUUUCUGAAUCUAGUUUGACGCAGUUUGGAGAUAGAGUGUUUGAUUGCUCUUGGGAUUAUUAAAUUUCUGGACCUGAUUUGAUGAAGUUAAGUAAGUUGAGCUCUAUUUAUUUUCUUUUUUACGCCUUGUGAUUUUUUCUUCUAUUUUCGUUUGACUUGUUUUGAUUUGACUAAGCUCAAUUAUGAUAUAGAUGACACCAUUUUGCUCAUGUGAGCUUUAAUCUUAUGUCUUUUUUUCUUAACCCUAGUAAACCCCCAAUUGUUGUACUUUUUGGUUUGAGUUUAGGUCUUCUACAGGGUAUAGAAAGUUCUGUUUGUUUUGAAUUUUUUCCUAGAUUGAUUUUCAAGGUCAUGAAAGAUUUUUUUAUUUGGUCAAUUCACUUGGUUUUUCCGAUAUAGAUGCACUCCCAAACGGUUAUGUCUAUCACCUUGGUGAUCAGGUCUGGCUAAAACUGGUUGUUAUACAUAUUCAAUCUUUGCACUUGUGUUUAUGUUGAAACAAUACAUGAUGCUAUUUGUGUCUGCCCAUUUUGGGAACUGUUGGCCGAAACCUAUCCGAACUUCCUAGGUUACAAUAAAAAGCAUCAUACAAAGCCAAUUUACAAUAAAAUUCCAUGACAAGUUAUAUAGCAAAGUAACGUGGCAAGGCAUGCUGUAAAUGAUACUUCUCUUCAAUGUCUUCAAACCAUCAGAAUAUCAGAUACCACAUUCUACUCCCAGAAACUCGUCCCUGAACCCUCUUCCAUCAUCAACUUUUCUUCUUCCUCAUCAUACCCAAGUCCCCAACUAAGAAGAUUCGCAGCAUAAGGCGAGCUCGACAAUACCUCAAAGGCCCUUGUCGCUGGAUUUAUUAGUAGCAACUCUUCUUCUUCAUUCCUGACUAAUUAACAUUUUUAUUUGGUGUAUAUUCCCAUUAUUUACUGUUACAUUUAUGACUCUUACAUUUUAACUUGUCUUGUAGUUUUUUAACAAAGCACCCACGUACUCUAAAAAUACGAUUGACGAGCUAAGGGAGAGAUGGAUCUAAUACGUUACCGAAUAUCACCAACCAAAUUACGAAGAUGAUGAUAAUGAUGAUCUAGUGUGAGUUGGGCUAGCUCAAGGAGAUGGUUACCUAUCUAUUUUUUUUAUUGACAUUGGAAAGAAUUUUGAUUUUUGUUGUCGUACCUUGCAUACUCAUGAUCUAGUGUGACUUAAGCUAGCUGAGAUGGUUGUUGCAGAGUCUGUUCCUGCUGCAGACGAUGUUGCUGCAGACGAUGUUGUUGCUGCUGUUACGGUCCUGUUACGCUGCUGUGACGCUGCUGAUACUCGGUUGUACCUGCUGCAGACUCUGUUGUACCUGCUGCAGGGGCUGCUGUUGCUGGAGAAUUUGAUCGCUGUUGCUGUUGAGUUUUUUAUUUUUUUUAUUUUUACAGUGAUAUUGGAUUUCUAUUUUUGCCGUACCUUGUGUAGAUUUUUUUUUUCCGUACCUUGUGUAGAUCAUUUAUUUUGUUAUUGAAUGAAUGAAUAAUAUUAUUUUGUUAUUGAAUGAAAGGAUUUUUGGAAA